rnacentral:tRNA from 1 species
GCCGGUGUGGCGUAGUGGUUUGAGCAUUGGACUAGAAUUCUGGAGACCAGGAUUCAAAUCCUGGAUCGACC